GUUCACCCUGUUAAUGUCAAAUUGUGACAUUUAUCUUCAUAUAUUAAAUAUUUAUAUUAGAGCUAGCAUAAAGUUAUCAUAUUUUACUUAAUACUUUGGUUUAAAAAAGUUCUGAUUAUUAAGAUUAUAAUAUUCUAGUAAUAGUUUACUUACAUAUUACAAAAUUCAUUAAAAUGGCAGGCUCUGAUGAUAAUAAACCUAAUAAUGAUACCGAAUCUAAUAACAUUGAAAGUAACGAAGAAAACGAAGAAAAUGUUCGAGAAGAGUAUGUUUUAUUGGAUACAAAACUGGAUGAAUUAAAUCAAGCUUUAGAUUUGUUGGAACAAAAAAAUGAUGAUAUUCAUAAAAGAUUGGUAGAACUCUUGCAAUCUAACAGAGAUAUACGACAACAACUAAAAAAUGAAAACACAGA